rnacentral:rRNA from 1 species
GAUCCUGGCUCAGGAUGAACGCUGGCGGCAUGCCUAAUACAUGCAAGUCGUGCGGAAAGGCCCCUUCGGGGGUACUCGAGCGGCGGACGGCAGAGUAACGCGUAGGAACAUACCCCAAACUGAGGGAUAACUGCCCGAAAGGGUAGCUAAUACCGCAUGUGGUCUUCGGACUAAAGCUUCGGCGGUUUGGGAAUGGCCUGCGUUCGAUUAGCUAGUUGGUGAGGUAAAUGCUCACCAAGGCGACGAUCGAUAG